rnacentral:rRNA from 1 species
GACGAACGCUGGCGGCGUGCUUAACACAUGCAAGUUGAACGAUGAAACCUAGCUUGCUAGGUCGAUUAGUGGCGAACGGGUGAGUAACACGUGACUAACCUGCCCCUUUCUCUGGGAUAACGCUUCGAAAGGAGUGCUAAUACCGGAUACUCACAUCGAGGCACAUGCCUUGAUGUGGAAAGUUUUUCGGAAAGGGAUGGAGUCGCGGCCUAUCAGCUUGUUGGUGAGGUAACGGCUCACCAAGGCGACGACGGGUAGCCGGCCUGAGAGGGCGACCGGCCACACUGGGACUGAGACACGGCCCAGACUCCUACGGGAGGCAGCAGUGGGGAAUAUUGGACAAUGGGGGGAACCCUGAUCCAGCCAUGCCGCGCGUGUGAAGAAGGCCUUAUGGUUGUAAAGCACUUUAAGCGAGGAGGAGGCUACUCUAGUUAAUACCUAGGGAUAGUGGACGUUACUCGCAGAAUAAGCACCGGCUAACUCUGUGCCAGCCGCCGCCGUAA